rnacentral:rRNA from 1 species
AGAGCGAACGCUGGCGGCAGGCUUAACACAUGCAAGUCGAGCGGGCGUAGCAAUACGUCAGCGGCAGACGGGUGAGUAACGCGUGGGAACAUACCUUUUGGUUCGGAACAACACAGGGAAACUUGUGCUAAUACCGGAUAAGCCCUUACGGGGAAAGAUUUAUCGCCGAAAGAUUGGCCCGCGUCUGAUUAGCUAGUUGGUGAGGUAACGGCUCACCAAGGCGACGAUCAGUAGCUGGUCUGAGAGGAUGAUCAGCCACAUUGGGACUGAGACACGGCCCAAACUCCUACGGGAGGCAGCAGUGGGGAAUAUUGGACAAUGAGCGCAAGCCUGAUCCAGCCAUGCCGCGUGAGUGAUGAAGGCCCUAGGGUUGUAAAGCUCUUUUGUGCGGGAAGAUAAUGACGGUACCGCAAGAAUAAGCCCCGGCUAACUUCGCGCCAGCAGCCGC